rnacentral:tRNA from 1 species
AAAAUCCGUCGACUUUAAAAAUCGUGAGGUGGUUCAAGUCCCUCUAUCCCCAA